GGGUGAUCUAGCCGCAACAUCUGUCAUUCCCUUGACCACUAGGGUGACUCAGCUGACCUAGCUGGCUAUCUUCUUCCUUCCCCAAAACUGUGCCCUAGGUCAAAGAGGAUAACCUUCCUCAAAUAAAGGAGAACUGUCCUUCUGUCAAGAGUCUAUGAGUAGCUGUGUUUUUCUGUUAGAACCCCAAGCAAGUUACAUUACCAAGAGAACUUAAAAUGGAAUAAAAUAAAAUAAAAUUACUGCUAGGGUCUAUGAAUAAUUACAACUCCAGUUCCUCUUCCUGCAGAGUGGGAUAAUGG
rfam:Mus musculus chromosome 3, GRC primary reference assembly.